AUCUGAGAUUUCUUGAGUCUUUGUUAGUGUGUCAUAUCUAACAAAACCACAAGAGUGAUUGUCUUGGUGUGUCAUAUCCAAGGGAUUCACUUAGGAGUAUCAAGGAGACCUCUCACAUCUCUUUGUGUCACCAUUCAUUCCACAAACCUUGAAGCAGAUUGAGUCUUUGAUUCUCUGUUUGCAAGGAUCUAUCCCAUUCCAACCAGAGAAGCAUCCUAGGAGUGUAUUAUGUGGUAUCAGAG